AGCCCCGGAGACGCUGAGGGGUAGAGAGGGGGGAGAUGCGAAGAUUGAAAGGGAUCUUUGCAAACACAAUCACGUUCUUAAAUGGAAAUGCGGGGCUUUAAACAAAUCUUACAUCUCUCCCGUUCCAGUCGCCUAAAACUCCGCAAUCAGGCGCAUGUUCCACUCCUUCUAAAACCGAAGCUUUUUGUAAGCUUUUUCAGGCAUCACUCUUUAUUUUAAUUAUUUACCUGAAUGCAUUUUUUUUUAUCUCACGCGCGUGUUUAUGUUGUUCUCGUCUCUCACAUGGCACUGCUCUCUGUUUGUAGGCUACAGUGGGACGCACUGUACGAUUUAUUCAUUUCAAUCCCUGGACUAGAGCACGAUUUAACGAGUUCCAAACCUUCCAUCUAACUCCGUGACGGGCUUGAAAGCAUCAGGCUUGGGAUGCCUAAGCCCCUUCUCAGCUUCUGUCUACCUGUCUGCUGGGGUGUUGGUGCCUGGGCUUCAACCAUCAGCCCUAACCUGUGUGGCUUCCUGUCCGUCCACAGAGGGACCCAAUCCUCUACUUUGAAUUCAAAGGGGCCUGAAGACAACACAGUCUCACGCAGGCUCAGCAACACACAGGUUACGACCCCAACAGGACAUACCACGCCACCCGGCGGGCUGAGUUGUUACGCACUACACGUGCGUGUGUAUGUGUGUAAGCCACAGGAGGUUGGUGACACCUUAAUUGGGGAGGAUGGGCUUGUGGUUAGAGCUGGAGCAGAAUCAUGGUUUCCAUGUGUUUGAUGUGCUGAGCUGUCCUCCCCUCAGCAGCCUCCGCUGGUGUAAGCAUGUUGCCCACUGCCGAAUGUCCAUCCGCCCUGCGUCUCCCCCUCAGCCCACCCAUCCUUCCUCUCUACCUAUCUCCCCUUUCAUCCUGUCUCUUUUCUUCAUACUGGACCGGAAUAUGAACGCGCAAAGUUGGCCUCACGGAGAGAGAGAGAGAGAGAGAGAGAGUCCACGUUACCUGACGUAAAAUAAUAGAUAGAUUCACUUCUGCAGGUUGAAUGUUGUACUUUAUGACAAAUUACAUCAAUUAAAGAGAUAGUUUGCUGUGUUUAAAUAUUGAUAUACUGUAGAUUUUAGUAAGAGGACACGUGGAUUUUCUUGAGUACACAAUUCAAAAUAUGUUUUUCUAUAAUAGGAGGAUUGUGUCUCUGUUGAAAUUUGGGUACCCCAAUAAAUGAAUUUGAAAAACCUCUCAGUUUAGAAGAGGUUAGUAACAGGUGAGGAAAACAUUUUUAAAAAACAAAAGCUGUAAAAGUUACGUGAAUCAAUGAGAUGUGACUGAACUAUUUUCCAUUUGACUAUUGCAAAAUUAUUUGUUGGUAACAUCAAUUGAUACUGU